GUGAGGAAUAUUGGUCAAUGGACGAGAGUCUGAACCAGCCAAGUCGCGUGAAGGAAGACGGUUCUAUGAAUUGUAAACUUCUUUUGUGCAGGAAUAAAGUGGGUUACGUGUAACCUUUUGUAUGUACUGUACGAAUAAGGAUCGGCUAACUCCGUGCCAGCAGCCGCGGUAAUACGGAGGAUCCGAGAGUUAUCCGGAUUUAUUGGGUUUAAAGGGUGCGUAGGUGGAUUGAUAAGUCAGCGGUGAAAGUUUGCAGCUUAACUGUAAAAUUGCCGUUGAAACUGUCGGUCUUGAGUGCAAAUGAGGUAGGCGGAAUGUGUUGUGUAGCGGUGAAAUGCUUAGAUAUAACACAGAACUCCGAUUGCGAAGGCAGCUUACUGGGAUGCAACUGACACUGAUGCACGAAAGCGUGGGUAUCAAACAGGAUUAGAUACCCUUGUAGUCC
rnacentral:rRNA from 1 species